UAGCCAGGGGACUGGGAUGCCCCUAGGAGGAACCUGUCCUGUCCCAGACCUGGCAGUGCCCCAGUGCCCUUGCUCUGAGAGCUCUGUGCCAGGUUCCCUGGUCAGGAGGGGUACAAAAAGCCAAAGUGUCUGAGUAUCAGAGCAGAGCAUGAUAGGCAUGUCCAGCACUGCCCUCAUCCUGAUUCAGUGGGGUCUGUAGCCUCUGUGAUAUGAUGUGAUGUCAUGUCUUAAGAGGCACUUGAAGCCUGGCCCUGGGAGGGGUGUGUGGGAUUGAGGGGGGAGGUGGGCAGGAUGGCUACCGAUAGGCUCCCUGGGGAGCAGACUACCCUGGGGAACCAGUCUCAGCUCAGGCCACACAUGGCCCCAGCCUGCUAUAUGGUGUGCCGGCCUUAGCUUUGGUGGAAGCGGGUGGGGGUGGGGGGUUGCUCAGCUAUAUGCAGGCUCAGCCCACUUGCUUGUCCAGGGGGAGGUCAUGGCAAUUUCUCAUGAGAGGAAAAUGAAAUGGCAGGAUGGUACCGUGUUCCCCAUGGGCCUGUGCUGAUUCCCAUACCACCUUCCCUGUCACUCAAACCAGGGUCUAAACUCCAAUGCUUGUACUCUCCAACAGAGCACCAGCCCCACAGCUCCAGGCGCUGAGGCACCCAAAACAGGCACAGGUAAUGGCAAAUAUCAUCAAGACUAUGUCUUGUCCUUGAGCUGAGGGGCUGUCUCACUUUACAGAUGAGGAAGUCAAGACUGGAUCAGAUCAUCCAAACUGAGAAUGGGCAGGACCAGGGGCCACAUCUGGCCAGAGGGAGAGAGACAAUGCGAGCAGGGGAAGGGCAGAGAGAGAGGGAGAUAAAGAAUCUGAAUCAGGCUCCAGGCUCUGAGCUCCGGGCUCUGAGCACAGAGCCCGAUGUGGUGCUCCAACCCACAAACCGCGAGAUCAAAACCUGAGUGCAAGUCGGUCAACCAAAUGACUGAGCCACCCAGGCAACCCUGCAGUCUGUUCUUGAUAAGUGGACAAGUUGUUUUUCAGUUCUCGGAUUAUAGAAAUCCCUUAAAACAAUAAUAAUCUGUGUCUUAAAACCCA